rnacentral:rRNA from 1 species
CGGCCCACCAAGGCGACGAUCAGUAGGGGUUCUGAGAGGAAGGUCCCCCACAUUGGAACUGAGACACGGUCCAAACUCCUACGGGAGGCAGCAGUGAGGAAUAUUGGUCAAUGGACGAGAGUCUGAACCAGCCAAGUAGCGUGCAGGAUGACGGCCCUAUGGGUUGUAAACUGCUUUUAUAAGGGAAUAAAGUGAGUCUCGUGAGACUUUUUGCAUGUACCUUAUGAAUAAGGACCGGCUAAUUCCGUGCCAGCAGCCGCGGUAAUACGGAAGGUCCGGGCGUUAUCCGGAUUUAUUGGGUUUAAAGGGAGCGUAGGCCGGAGAUUAAGCGUGUUGUGAAAUGUAGAUGCUCAACAUUUGCACUGCAGCGCGAACUGGUUUCCUUGAGUACGCACAAAGUGGGCGGAAUUCGUGGUGUAGC